GGGCCCGCACAAGUGGUGGAGCAUGUGGUUUAAUUCGAUGCAACGCGAAGAACCUUACCAACCCUUGAAAUCUAGCGAAGUUCACAGAGAUGAGAAUGUGCCUUCGGGAACGCUAUGACAGGUGUUGCAUGGCUGUCGUCAGCUCGUGUCGUGAGAUGUAUGGUUAAGUCCAGUAACGAGCGCAACCCCUAUCCUUAUUUGCCAGCGCGUUAAGGCGGGAACUAUAGGGAGACUGCCGGGUGAAACCCGGAGGAAGGCGGGGACGAGGUCAAGUCAUCAUGGCCCUUAUGGGUUGGGCUACACACGUGCUACAAUGGGGCGUACAAAGGGUUGCAAUCCCGCGAGGGGGAGCUAAUCCCAUAAAACGUUUCGUAGUCCGGAUUGGGGUCUGCAACUCGACCCCAUG
rnacentral:rRNA from 1 species